CUCACACACCAAAUCAAGAGAGAAAAUUAUUAACAGAAAAAUUGUUUUCUUGUUCCAUUUAUAAUGAGUUGAAAUUUUUGAGAAAAGUUUCAGCACAAUAUUAAUCCAGUUUGUUCGUGAGUUCCGUUGAUAGCAAAGAUUGCCUCAGUGGAUACGCAUAGAGUCUUCAAGGUCAGCAACAAAUACAAUAUGUCGGACAAGCUUAGCCAAUUGCCAGAUGAGCUUCUUGUGUCAAUUGUGUCUCAGUUGACAUUGAGGGAAGCAGUGGUUGUGAGUUGUCUUUCAAGUCGAUGGCGCUAUAUUUGGACACAUGUCACACGUCCUAACUUUAAUCUUCCAAUUCCCAUAGAGGAAUGGGAUUGUAAAGAUACAGAAUUUUGCAGAAAGGAAGCAUCGAGACAUAUCGAUUGGAUUAAUCAUGUUUUGGCUUUGCACAAGUCAAAGUCUAAUUGUCAUUUAGAAGAAUUCAGUGUCUCUUGUCUUUUUCAAGAUAGUUUUCAAUGUGAAAUUGAUAAAUGGCUCAACUUAGCAGUAGCAACAAAAGUUGAAAGCCUGAAGAUAGAAUUGUUCUAUCGUCAUUAUUGGCGAUAGAAUCAUGCUUGUUUUAAUUUGAAGGACUUGUUUGGAUUUCAGAAUCUCAAAGUGCUGACUUUAUGCGGGAUUGAUGUGGAUAGUCAAGUGGUCAAGAUGUUCCUCUCAAGCUGUGCCCUUCUCGAACACUUGUCAAUCCAACAGUCUAACCAAUUGCAACAUCUGGAUAUAAUUGGUCCUUCCCUCAAGUUGAAGCAUUUGGAGAUACAGCAUUGCCAAAUGCUAUCUUCCCUGAAGAUUAAUCAGAGUGUCAAUCUUGUCUCUUUUAACUUCGAAGGAACGGAAACGAAUUUUGAGCUCGAUAUUGUUACUUCAGUUCUUGAUGUUCAUAUUGAUACAUGCUUCUUUCCGUCUUUGUCUGUGUUAUAUCCCGCAUUUUGUACAUUUGGAUAAUUCGAGAUAAUUGCAAGAAGUUAAGGACAAGGCUA